AGCACGCGCCCAGCAUUUGUGCUGAGCCCUGUGCUGCUCACAACGCUGAGAACGCUCCUGAUCAGGAACGGACCCUACCCGCACGCCCAGGGCCUCACGAGCUCAAUCAGGCCAUCCCUCGACAACAGCUUCCAGGUGUGCCCUGCCUUCUGAACAUAAAAGCUGAUGAAAAUCCCAUCGCCCAUUGGGAGUAAACGCCACGUGCAUGGCUGCUCAGGAGGAGUCUGUAGGGAGAAAAUCUUUCUUCCUUAAUCUUCCAAUAAGAGACCUAUUUUCCCUACUGCAGUCGUGAGACACCCAUAAGCAGUGAUGCGGUGUUCCUGAUGAGUUGUGAAUUAUCUCCUAAGUGUCUAAAAAGCGCCUCAGCCCACAGCAGCCUGCUGCCUUCAGAGGAUGCACUCGCCUGGGGAGGAACAGGCCCUACAAGGUGACUCCAGGUCAACCUCUUAGGAGGACACCAUCUCCCGGGAUCCCGGAGGGAGCCACACGUUUCUGAACAGGGCCAGAUGGAAAGUAGGAAAUACUGAAGGAAAUGCAUAAAGAAGACAAUUUACUGAGAAGCAGUUUGAAAUACAGUAAGUUACAGUGAGAAAAGAAAAUGAUGUAUAUGGUACAAUAGUAAAUAAUUAUUAAAUAAUAAUAUCGACAGAGGAAAUAAAACCAAACCCAGCUAGAAGACUGUAUGUUAACAGCCUGUCAGCCAGAGGGCAAUAGUUGAAAUUAAUAAUCAUAAUUCAGAAAGGAGGCAGAGAUGGCUAUUAAUGAAAGUGUAAUGAAUUAAACGCACUUGUCAAAAGGUAAGCGACAAGAGAUGCAGAAUGUCCAUCCUAAAAACCAGUAGGGGAAGGAAAAGAAUGAAAAAAACUCUGAAGAAGAUAAGUCCAUGCUGUGCUAUAUUAUCUGCUACUCCUGAUGCCCACAGCACUUUCUAACAAGAAAUGAGCAGUGAAUCCACGGAAACCAAUGGGAACGGGAUGUGGCAGGCAUGAUUUAUAGUUUAGUUAAUUCGAAUAAGCAGAGAAUCACACCUGCUAAGAGAUUCGGAACCACAGCCUCCACGACACACGGCUCCUCUCAGCAGGAGUCCUUCCCAGCAAAGGCUCCCCCAACACACCCCGUUCCACAUCACGGAGUGCCAGCCCCGGCCCAGCCCGGCCCAUCCUCAGGGAGACGGACUCAGCAGGGCUGCCAGAGCCCAGGCCAGC
rnacentral:lncRNA from 10 species